UUUUGACCUCAAAUCAGGUAGGACUACCCGCUGAACUUAAGCAUAUCAAUAAGCCGGAGGAAA
rnacentral:rRNA from 1 species